UUUUGGUUAAGUUAAUAAGGGCGCACGGUGGAUGCCUUGGCACUAGGAGUCGAUGAAGGACGGCACUAACACCGAUAUGCCUCGGGGAGCUGUAAGUAAGCUUUGAUCCGGGGAUUUCCGAAUGGGGGAACCCACUAUCUUUAAUCGGAUAGUAUCUUCACGUGAA
rnacentral:rRNA from 1 species